UACGUAGGGGGCAAGCGUUGUCCGGAUUUAUUGGGCGUAAAGAGCGUGUAGGCGGCCAUGUAGGUCUGCUGUGAAAACUCGAGGCUUAACCUCGAGAUGUCGGCGGAAACCAUCUGGCUAGAGUCCGGAAGAGGAGAGUGGAAUUCCUGGUGUAGCGGUGAAAUGCGCAGAUAUCAGGAAGAACACCCGUGGCGAAGGCGGCUCACUGGCUCAUUACUGACGCUCAGGCGCGAUAGCGUGGGGAUCAAACAGG
rnacentral:rRNA from 1 species